AAUUGAACAACGCAAAUCCACGUCCAAUCUAAAAGCACUUCUUACGAGGUCACCUAAUGGUUGCCCAUGAUGUACAGAAUUCGUCUAUUGGAACGGAGAACAACCAAUUUGGCUGAUCUUGGGUGCAGUGUCAGUCGCGUCCUUCUGGAUAUGACUGGGAUUGCAAUGAUCGACCAUACAG
rfam:Exophiala oligosperma strain CBS 72588 unplaced genomic scaffold supercont1.10, whole genome shotgun sequence.